UCCCUGGUGGCUCAGAGGGUUGAGCAUCUGCCUGCAAUGCAGGAGACCAGGGUUUGAUCCCUGGGUCGGGAA
rnacentral:tRNA from 1 species